UAAGUAAGAUAUAUAAUCGCGGCCGCAGCAAUGCGGGUGAGGAAAGUCCGGACUUCGCAGGGCAGGAUGCCAGAUAACGUCUGGUGGAGGUGACUCCAAGGCUAGUGCAACAGAAAUAUACCGCCCGCUUUCGGAAACGAAAGUGCGAAAGAAGCCGCUUGCGGGUUCUUUCCGGCGCAGCACUUGUGCUUCGCCGUGGUCAGGGUGGAAAGGCAGUGUAAGAGACUACCGUCCGUCUGGUAACAGACGGAGCCAUGUAAACCCCAUCCGAAGCAAGACCAAAAAGAAAGCAACAGGCUUGCCCGGCCUGCUUUCAGGUGGGUCGCUGGAGACGGCUGGUGACAGCCGUAGUAGAUAGAUGAUUAUACAAGACAUAAUCCGGCUUAUCGUCUUGCUUACACU
rnacentral:RNase_P_RNA from 1 species